rnacentral:lncRNA from 1 species
GGAGAAGGCAAAUGGCGGACUUCGACACCUACGACGAUCGGGCCUACAGCAGCUUCGGCGGCGGCAGAGGCCUUCAGGGAUGACUUCCUAGGCGGCAGGGGGGGGAGUCGCCCAGGUGACCGGCGAACGGGCCCCCCAAUGGGGAGUCGCUUCAGAGAUGGCCCUCCCCUUCGAGGCUCCGGCAUGGAUUUCAGAGAACCAACAGAAGAGGAAAGAGCACAGAGACCACGGCUCCAGCUUAAACCUCGCACAGUUGCAACGCCGCUCAAUCAAGUAGCCAACCCCAACUCCGCCAUCUUCGGGGGCGCCCGGCCCAGGGAGGAGGUCCAGAAGGAGCAGGAAUGAGCUGCCGUCGGGAGGGAGUGGGGCGUGGGCGCGCAGAGCGAGACCACGGCUGGCGGCCUCCGCACCAGCAGCCCUGCGGUCACCGCUCCUGCGCCUGCCCUCUGUCCUCCUUUCUUCCAGCGGAAACACAGCUUGUGAGCGCAUGUCAGCAGUGAACAAGUGGUUUUUAGCACAUCCUCGCCUUUGCUGUCUAGUGCCUGUUCCGUGCUUUUUUUUUCCGUCUGCCACUCCUUGCCCAUUUCCCUUCUGUCCUUUUUUCUGUUUUGCUCCUCCUUUCCUUCCAGCGCACGAGUGUCUCUGGCGCAGCGAAGGCGCCACCGUGUGGGAGCUCCUUGGAUCGAGGCGCUGCUUCGUGCUCUCCUUUGCUUCCUCUUUACUUUAGACGCACUGGCCAGGUCCAGUCGUUGCCUUUGGUUUGCUCAGUGCUUCUCUCCCGACCUGCAUGUUGAGUUCUGUAUUGCUGUGGCUUCCGAGAACAAACCAGAGGAGAAGUCACAGACUGGAGAGUCUCGUUUGUACUCAGCUGUGAUGAACAUCCAGAAUUUGAGACACCUUGUUUUCAAAGCAAGGAUAAAAGAUGUGUUGAUCCUCGCAGAUUCCUUCCUGUCCCUCUUUAUAGGUAGUCCUGUCUCUUACCCCCUCCCCACGUGGGUGAUUCGGGCAGAACAGGCUCGCCUUUCACACAUGAAACCUGAGGGAAGAGGGAGGUGGAAGGUUGGCGCGGCAUUCCCAGGGAGGGUCCCCAGGUUUCAUUAGUGCUCUUUCACAGCCGUGUCCAAACUCGUUCCCUCUUUUAAACCGCUGUGUUAGAGGCUGGAUCUAGCGAACAGCUGUCUGGUUUCCUUUCCACUGGGCAGAGGUGCUGCGGGGACAGAGGGUGUGGGCGGAGAGCCGCGCCAAGCCUGCUGGGUAGUGCAGACGCUGCUCUUGUCCACGCCCCUGUGGCUUGUGUUCAGCAUCUCUCCCUGUGUUUAUCUGUUCCUGAUAGAAGGAACAGAAUGAGAUGCAUGCUUCUCGCCCUCCCUUAAUUUCAUGAUGAAAAUGGACCUAGAAACUGGCACUUUACUCUGUUUCACUUCAUGAAUUGAGAAUGUUACUAUGCAGAGCUGCCAAGAAUCAUAAGAUAACUGGUAGGUGGCUGUGCGGCAUGAGGGCUCCCCCUUGGGGCAGUUUCUUGUUCCCACGUACAGUGUUCAGCAGUUCAGGGCUAGGGGCUGGGCACCUAUGUGAGAACAGAUGAAAGUUUUUAGCACCGAGUCCAGUCUGUCCCAUUGGGAGCAAUUUGGAGUGGGCUGGCCGCUUAGAGCCCUCCCCCGCGUGCGUGGAGGCCGAGGGCAGCCUGCCCGCGGCGCAGUGUGCUCCGGUUGUAAUUUGUCUCAGCAAUUCACAGAACUCUCCCUCCUUUCCUGCUUCCACCUGUCACCUUUGCUUCUGAAAUAAGAACCAUUUGUGUAACACCAGUACUUAACUUAAGAAAGACAUGCAUUCUGUGGUCGUAAUCAGACGAUGCUCUCAGAUGACCUACUCACAUCUCAGUGUGGAAAGAUUAAGAACACACACAAGUUCCUCUCAACUUCUGGGCAAUCCAGUUGACUUUUAAAUGUAAGAAUGGAAUUCCAAACACUUAACACAUUCAGCUAUAUGACAGAAAGUAAAUCUAUGGAUAUGGUAUUUUGUGAAUGAUCUUUUAAAUAAAAGAAAACCUUACGUAAAAAAAAAAAA